rnacentral:rRNA from 1 species
UACGUAGGGGGCAAGCGUUGUCCGGAUUUAUUGGGCGUAAAGAGCGUGUAGGCGGCCCGAUUAGUCCGCUGUGAAAGUCCAGGGCUCAACCCUGGAAUGCCGGUGGAUACUGUCGGGCUAGAGUCCGGAAGGGGCGAGUGGAAUUCCUGGUGUAGCGGUGAAAUGCGCAGAUAUCAGGAGGAACACCAAUGGCGAAGGCAGCUCGCUGGGACGUGACUGACGCUGAGGCGCGAAAGCCAGGGGAGCAAACGGG